CAGAAACGUUGUAUGUUAAUAUAUGCUACUGUAAAAUGUAGUAAAGUUGGUAGUUUUGCCACUUUUAGUUACUUCUAUUCACCACCACUGGAAGGAAGUUAGCUUAAAGAACAGUGUCUCCCCUCCCGGCGGAGCAUCAGAUAUCGAAGCAGACUGCAACACUAUCCACCUGAAGCACUGCUGAGACAGCAGCCACCUCCACCAAACACUCCAGCACCCCACUCCCUUUCUCUGACGCCUCCAUCAAUAUCUGCACAAAAACAAAGCACAGGAAACUCUCCUUACAGAGAGGAAGCCACCUGUGAUCAUUAAUUUUUUCACGUGUUAAUAGUUUAGCAGAAUGUGGAGAAGCCUUGGAUCUAAAUCUGUGGUCUGUGGUAUAAAGCACAACCUGUAGGUGGAUCGAAUCAAUACACAAGUGGUGUGCAUACAUUAAGAUUGAACCUAUGCAGGUGGACUGGCUUUAAGAGACAGUUCACCCAAAGAAAUGAAAAUUUGCUGUUAAUUUACCCACCCUCAGGCAUUCCAAGAUGUAGGUGAGUUAUUUUAUUUUAUUUGUUCUUUAGUAGAACAGUAAAGAAGAUUUUACAUCUUUAGCCAAUAUAUCACAAAUAUCAAUAUACAGUGUAUAUGAUCCUAUGAUGCUGUUUUUUGCCAGCAUCUGGCAUUUUUUUUGUAGUGCUCCAGUUACUACAACAGUCAAUGAACAAAACAGUUCAUAUUCAUACUGAAGAACUGAUGAGCAUGCGUGAACAGGCACUUAAUGGAGUGAAAUGAUAGGUCUUUCUUUCUAAUGGUUUAUGUAAAAAGUUUGGAGUGAAGAGCACUGCAGAUAAGUAUGGACUUGUGUUGCACUUCGGCCUGAUUGUUUCCCUCCCCCUUCGAUAUCCCAUAAUGCACAGGGGGUCACAUCAGUUCCGGAGCAGCGGUGCUUCAGCGUCUGCGUGUGAAGGACUCUCUGUGCUGGAAGUGUUUUUGUGCGUGCGCUGGGUAAGAUGAUUGCAGGCGAGCACAAGUGUUUGGUGUCAGUCUCUGUUACAAGGAGAUGAUGGGAAAGAGUUGAGACUGAGUCACUUUCUGUUAAUGCAUUGGGCCACGUG
ensembl:lncRNA